GAUGAACGCUGGCGGCGUGCCUAAUACAUGCAAGUCGAGCGAACAGACGAGGAGCUUGCUCCUCUGACGUUAGCGGCGGACGGGUGAGUAACACGUGGAUAACCUACCUAUAAGACUGGGAUAACUUCGGGAAACCGGAGCUAAUACCGGAUAAUAUAUUGAACCGCAUGGUUCAAUAGUGAAAGACGGUUUUGCUGUCACUUAUAGAUGGAUCCGCGCCGCAUUAGCUAGUUGGUAAGGUAACGGCUUACCAAGGCGACGAUGCGUAGCCGACCUGAGGGGGUGAUCGGCCACACUGGAACUGAGACACGGUCCAGACUCCUACGGGAGGCAGCAGUAGGGAAUCUUCCGCAAUGGGCGAAAGCCUGACGGAGCAACGCCGCGUGAGUGAUGAAGGUCUGCGGAUCGUAAAACUCUGUUAUUAGGGAAGAACAAAUGUGUAAGUAACGAUGCACGUCUUGACGGUACCUAAUCAGAAAGCCACGGCUAACUACGU
rnacentral:rRNA from 1 species